GGUUCUGUAAUCACAAGGAUUGAUGGGUUCCUACAGUUGGCAUGGAUACAACGCAGGCCAAACAGAAACAGAAUUCUCUGAUGUCAGAAUGAGGUCACAAUGUGCAGAGCAUCUGUUUCUCUGCAAACCAAGUGACCGUUAACAGUCAGGCUGAGCCUUAACAUGGUCAGCAUGGAUCUUCAUGACAGAGAAAGGAAAAGGUUGGAUUGGGGGGGUGGGGAGCAGAGUUAGUUUUCAGCGGAUAUAGCAGAUAAAGCGUUGGACUACAGCUCAGGAGACCUGGGUUCAGAUCCCUCCUUGGCCUUCAAAACUUUCUGGAGAAUAGCAAUGGUAAACCACUCCUGGAAAAUCUUAUCUACUUCACAAAUCCUAUCAGGGUCACCAGAAGUUGGAAAUGCCUUGCCAUAAAAGGACAAUAAAAUUGAUCUUUUAAGAGUGGGGAAGGAUUAGAAGGAUUUACAGAGAAGGUUUUCCUAAUAUUUUCCUGCCUAUUUUGUGUGCUUCACAGAGCGCAUUUCCCUCAGAGCUUUUUUGGACCACAUCUCCCAGAAACCUUGGGUCAGGAUGGCCAGUGGCCAUACCAUCUGGGAAUUCUGAGAAAUGGAAAUAGUCAUGAGGAAUGCCAGACAACGGGAGAUGCAAGUUCUUGAACACGGAGUCAGUCAUUCAGGAGGAACGAGAUGAUAUACAGUAUAUGUUACCACAGCCAAGAAAGAAGGACAAUGAAGAAUAUCUAAGGUCGUGUGGCAAUCUGAAAAAGUCAAGGACUAUGUGAAGAAAACCAUGCUGAGAACCUCAGUAAGGAACCUACUUUCUACAAUUAAUGGGCAGCCAUGUUAGUUUCUGAAAGGUGAUGAGGGUGUGAAUUGUAGAUUGAGUAAAGCCAUUCCUGCAAAAUAUUCAAGCACAGCUUUGUUUGGGAGAGGACCUCUUCACUCCAGGGUAUAGAAGGAGUUGGGGUGUUAAUUUCAUUCCCACAUCCUUUUCUCAAUGGCUGAAUAUUUUGUUUGGACCCUUAGCUCUUUUUAAAAUUGGUCGUUUUGGCAAGGAGCUGUGUCGGAGAGGACAUUCUGUCUCUCACACAUACCUUUCAUAGGGACAAUCCACAAGAUACAUGGCUGUGUGCCGUUUUGAAUAAAUCCAUGGAUGGUGUGAAGAAGCCCA
rnacentral:lncRNA from 1 species